CCACUGAUUGCACUGCCCAUA
rnacentral:miRNA from 1 species